GAUGAAGAACGUAGCGAAAUGCGAUAAGUAAUGUGAAUUGCAGAAUUCAGUGAAUCAUCGAAUCUUUGAACGCACAUUGCGCCCGCCAGUAUUCUGGCGGGCAUGCCUGUUCGAGCGUCAUUUCAACCCUCAAGCCUAGCUUGGUGUUGGGGAUCGGCACAGGCGCCCUCGGGCGCCCGCCGUCCCCUAAAUCUAGUGGCGGUCCCGCUGCAGCCUCCUCUGCGUAGUAGUUUUCUCCUCGCAAGGGCAGCUCGGUGGCGACCUCGCCGUAAAACCCCCAACUUCUGAAAGGUUGACCUCGAAUCAGGUAGGAAUACCCGCUGAACUUAAGCAUAUCAAUAAGCGGAGGA
rnacentral:misc_RNA from 1 species